UACGUAGGGUGCGAGCGUUGUCCGGAAUUACUGGGCGUAAAGAGCUCGUAGGUGGUUUGUCGCGUUGUUCGUGAAAACCGGGGGCUUAACCCUCGGCGUGCGGGCGAUACGGGCAGACUUGAGUACUGCAGGGGAGACCGGAAUUCCUGGUGUAGCGGUGAAAUGCGCAGAUAUCAGGAGGAACACCGGUGGCGAAGGCGGCAUUCUGGACUGCAACUGACACUGAAAGACGAAAGCCAGGGGAGCAAACGGG
rnacentral:rRNA from 1 species